rnacentral:rRNA from 1 species
UGCAACGCGAAAACCUUACCCACCUUUGACAUGUACGAAUCCUUUAGAGAUAGAGGAGUGCUCGAAAGAGAGCCGUAACACAGGUGCUGCAUGGCUGUCGUCAGCUCGUGUCGUGAGAUGUUGGGUUAAAGUCCCGCAACGAGCGCAACCCUUGUCAUUAGUUGCUACAUUCAGUUGGGCACUCUAAUGAGACUGCCGGUGACAAACCGGAGGAAGGUGGGGAUGACGUCAAGUCCUCAUGGCCCUUAUAGGUGGGGCUACACACGUCAUACAAUGGAUGGUACAAAGGGUCGCCAACCCGCGAGGGGGAGCCAAUCCCAUAAAGCCAUUCGUAGUCCGGAUCGCAGUCUGCAGCUCGACUGCGUGAAGUCGGAAUCGCUAGUAAUCGUGGAUCAGAAUGUCACGGUGAAUACGUUCCCGGGUCUU